CACAAGUCAAGUCAUCGCCAGAAGAACCGUUAACCUAUUCGUCAGUAACUGUGUACACAAAGUCGUCGGAACUACACAUACGGUCAUCAACAGUCGUCAAAGAAACUGGAACAUUUUGCUGUGGCAUAUCAGGACAUCUGUGGCAUUACGUGGGAUACUGGUAGCACCGGAGAACAGAGUCAGAACUGGAAGAGAGGCAGUGGAAUUUGUUGUGAUCUAGCAUAUUCGGGAGUCCGAACAAAGGGAUCUUUCUUAUCAAAAGCUAAGUGCCAUUUUUCUUAUUAGUAUAUGUUUAGAUUGCCCUUAGAAAUAGAUUUUGUCUAAAUUUGGUACGUUAGCCUGAGUAAAAUCAGGUGGUGCGCCUUAAAACCCGUCGGGGUAGAAGACGUAAUUUAGAUGAAAAGCUAUAUUAUACGUUUAGAGUUGUAAUUUGUUUUGUUUGUGUAAACGUCAUAUCCGUUGUUGCGUGGUUACUUCGUGACGUCAUCAUUGUGUGCCAUAUUGUCAUAUCCCAACCCAUAGCGAUAGUCUCAUUUAAUUAUUUCAUUUGUUUAUAUUAUUUUAAAUUAUUUAUUUUUAUUAAUUUAAUUAUUGGUUGUAUUUAAUUAGAUCUGUAUUUUUUUUUUCACUUAAUGAUAGAAAGUGCGGGUAGGAUUCUUUUACUGUGAAUCAGACUAAAAUAAUUUUAGCAGCACUAAAAUAAUUUUAGUUUGAGCGGUUAAAAUCAAAUAUGAUUUUGCCAUGAGAAUAAUGCCGAAACUGGCUAUGUAGUCAAACACUAUCGUCUGGCUAAAUUUAGAUCUGCAAAUUGUUGUACAUCUCUUUGGUACAAUUUAAUUAUCUAGACUCUAAUUUGAAAUAUUAUUAAUUGAAAAAUGAAUGAAGAUUACUGCCAGAGAAGAACACUUGUGACGUGUGACGUACCCAUAAGAUGCCACAUUUUCUUUUAUGAUGAACUGUGUACUAAUGAAGAUGAUUUUGGAAUGUUAUGAACUGUUAUGAACAUUGACAUGAAUAUGAGGAACUGUCAAGAUGAAGAUGUCAAGAUGAAGAGAUCAAGAUUUUAUGUUUGUGGUCUUCCCCUUAAAUUGAAAAUGCCCUUGUAAGACUUGACAGUAGUGGAAAAAUAUUGACAUAUUUUUUUUUCAAGGGGGGGAGGAAUCUGUUAGACACCUUAUUUAUAUAGGUUAGUUAUUUUAGUUAUUUAGCGACGCACCAUAGUAGACGCAUAUUGAACGGGACUAGUGACGUUUGGGAUAUGUUGGGUUAGAGACCGGAAAAUCAGUUAGCGAUAUAAGAUUCCAGGGUAACGACGUGUUUAGUGACAGAGACUUCUACUGUGGCCUUUUAUCAGAAUAAAUCUAUGUACAAUUGUU